rnacentral:rRNA from 1 species
GAAUUCCACGUGUAGCGGUGAAAUGCGUAGAGAUGUGGAGGAACACCAGUGGCGAAGGCGACUCUCUGGUCUGUAACUGACGCUGAGGAGCGAAAGCGUGGGGAGCGAACAGGAUUAGAUACCCUGGUAGUCCACGCCGUAAACGAUGAGUGCUAAGUGUUAGGGGGUUUCCGCCCCUUAGUGCUGCAGCUAACGCAUUAAGCACUCCGCCUGGGGAGUACGGUCGCAAGACUGAAACUCAAAGGAAUUGACGGGGGCCCGCACAAGCGGUGGAGCAUGUGGUUUAAUUCGAAGCAACGCGAAGAACCUUACCAGGUCUUGACAUCCUCUGACAAUCCUAGAGAUAGGACGUCCCCUUCGGGGGCAGAGUGACAGGUGGUGCAUGGUUGUCGUCAGCUCGUGUCGUGAGAUGUUGGGUUAAGUCCCGCAACGAGCGCAACCCUUGAUCUUAGUUGCCAGCAUUCAGUUGGGCACUCUAAGGUGACUGCCGGUGACAAACCGGAGGAAGGUGGGGAUGACGUCAAAUCAUCAUGCCCCUUAUGACCUGGGCUACACACGUGCUACAAUGGACAGAACAAAGGGCAGCGAAACCGCGAGGUUAAGCCAAUCCCACAAAUCUGUUCUCAGUUCGGAUCGCAGUCUGCAACUCGACUGCGUGAAGCUGGAAUCGCUAGUAAUCGCGGAUCACAUG